UCACUUUCUAAUCUUCGUUCCUCUCUUCUUCCCUCCUCCCUCUCUCUUCUUUCCCUUCCCUUCCUUCCCUUUCUCAUCACCACAAAGUAUUUGUGCCACACCAUGGGUGUGACAAUGGAAAAAAUCUAGCUCCAUGGCAACUGGCGGUUCCUUGGCCAAUCUGGUUUCAAACUGUUCAAGAACAAAAGUUGAGAAUGCCUUCGCGGUCUCUGUGAAGCCACCCUUGCGAGAGUCUUCAAGGACAGGAGUCACAAGGGCCCAAGAGUGAAUCCAAGACUCAACUCAACUGGUUAUGAAUGCUUUAUGGCUCCUGUUUGGUGUCCUGCUGACAGGGAUGACCAGUCGGGAUUCAUCUCACCUCACCUGUACAUAAAUGGCACAGUUCCUGCACUGUAACAUUGUGGGGGAAGACUUUGAACAUUGCUGAAAAUAGCAAGAAGCCAUGGAAAUCAGCCAGCAUCCUUAAUUGCACCGGGGAACAAUUUGACUGAUCCUGUAAGGGAUUUGUUGAUGAAUAUGCUGAAACGGAGUCUCAGAGAAGUCACUGCAGUCCUCGUCCCUUGGCAGAAGAAGAUCUCGAAGGAUCACGUUAUCAUUUCCUUCAUGGAAGCACCAAGCAGAGUGAGAUUAACUUCCAUUAUAAUGAGCCACGGUGACGCGGUGGUUAGAGUGCGGUAUUGCAAGCUCCUUCUCCUGCCUGCCGGCUGCCUGCAAUUUGGCAGUUCAAAUCUCACCAGGCUCAAGGUUGGCCCAGCCUUCCGUCCUUCCGAGGUGGGUAAAAUGAGGACCCAGAUUGCUGAGGGGGCAAGAGGCUGACUGUCAGACUACGUUGCUAUCUCAAAAUUAAAUGAAUUUCCAAACUGCCAA